ACUGGUAUGUUUUCCACACGAACCUUUCAAAAGUGGCAGCCCCCUGCACUCAGAUUUGUAACUCCCAGUUCUCCCCAACACCAUCAUGACAUCCCACCAUCUGGUCUGGACUACAGGGGUGCUGCCACCUGCCUCUCUUAUGAUGCUGGUACGCUGGGAGAUGGUGGGGUCAGAAGAGAGAGUAUGAGAAGACUAUAUUUUGCCAGAGGACCAGCUGUGAGCAGGGCACUACAUUAGGGCCAGAUAACACGGGUCCAUUCCUCUUCACAUGAAGGCACACACAGAGCUACUCCAGCCCUGCCAGCUUAGGAUGAAGACCCACCAAGUCAGCUGAAGAAGAGAGGCUGCGAGAGCCCUGGACCCACCACCAGGACCAGGUCAACAGGACUUUGCAGACAAGCUCUCCUGUAGCCCAGCCCGGCUUCACACAAGCUUGCUUUGUAGCCCAGGAUGAUCUUGAACUUCUGCUGCUUCUGUCUCCAGCUUGAGUUCUGAGAUUACAGGCGUGUGCAACCAUCCUCAUUCUGUGCAAUGCUGAGAAUGCAGCCUGGGUACUCCACCAACUGAGCUUCACCCCAGCCCUCCCCUGGGAUAAUGAUAAGACAGGUAUGUA